AUUGAACGCUGGCGGCGUGCCUAACACAUGCAAGUCGAGCGGUAACAGGUGUAGCAAUACAUGCUGACGAGCGGCGGACGGGUGAGUAACGCUUGGGAAUCUGCCUAUUAGUGGGGGACAACCCGGGGAAACUCGGGCUAGUACCGCGUACGCACUACGGUGGAAAGCCGGGGACCGCAAGGCCUGGCGCUAACAGAUGAGCCCAAGUCGGAUUAGCUAGUUGGUAGGGUAACGGCCUACCAAGGCGACGAUCCGUAACUGGUCUGAGAGGACGACCAGUCACACCGGAACUGAGACACGGUCCGGACUCCUACGGGAGGCAGCAGUGGGGAAUAUUGGACAAUGGGCGAAAGCCUGAUCCAGCGACGCCGCGUGGGUGAAGAAGGCCUGCGGGUUGUAAA
rnacentral:rRNA from 1 species